rnacentral:rRNA from 1 species
GCUAAACAGCUAGCCCAAACCCCAAGACUAACUUAACAACAUUAUUAAUCUUACCUAACCCCAACAAAAUGAAUUAAAACAUUCUCCAGCCUUAGUACGGGCGACGGAAAAGGCACCAUUGAAGCAAUAGAAAGAGUACCGCAAGGGAAAGCUGAAAAAGAAAUGAAACAACCCAUUUAAGCCUAAAAAAGCAGAGAUUUACCCUCGUACCUUUUGCAUCAUGAUUUAGCUAGAAUUCUUGAGCAAAGAGAACUUUAGUUCAAACCCCCGAAACCAAGUGAGCUACCCCGAGACAGCCUAUUAUAGGGCCAACCCGUCUCUGUGGCAAAAGAGUGGGAAGAUCCCCGGGUAGCGGUGACAGACCUAUCGAACUUGGUGAUAGCUGGUUGCCUAGAAAAUGGAUAGAAGUUCAGCCUCGUAUUCCUCUCCCACAAAACACCAUUAACCACACGAGACAGAGAAAAUCACGAGAGUUAGUCAAAGGGGGUACAGCCCCUUUGAACCAGGCCACAACCUGACCCAGGAGGUUAAGGAUCAUAUUCAACAAGAUAACUGCUUCAGUGGGCCUAAAAGCAGCCACCUGACUAGAAAGCGUUAAAGCUCAGGCAGACUUUAAAUCUAUUAUUCUGAUAAUUUAAUCCUAAACCCCUACUUAUACUAGGCCACUCCAUGCCCACAUGGAAGAGAUACUGCUAAAAUAAGUAACAAGAAGGUAACCCCUUCUCCUUCGCUCACGUGUAAGUUAGAUCGGACCAACCACUAAUAACUAACGAACCCAACCCAAGAGGGAAAAGUGGCCACACAAUAAAACCAAGAAAAUCCCACAUUCUUUUUUAAUCGUUAACCCCACACCGGAGAGCUGAACGGAAAGACUAAAAGAAAAGGAAGGAACUCGGCAAACACAAGCCUCGCCUGUUUACCAAAAACAUCGCCUCCCGCAAAAAUCAAAGUAUAGGAGGUCCUACCUGCCCAGUGAUUAAAUUAAACGGCCGCGGUAUUUUGACCGUGCUAAGGUAGCGCAAUCACUUGUCUUUUAAAUGAAGACCUGUAUGAAUGGUGGAACGAGGGCUUAACUGUCUUCCUUCUCAGGUCAGUGAAAUUGAUCUGCCCGUGCAGAAGCGGACAUAAAGAUACAAGACGAGAAGACCCUUUGGAGCUUAAGACAUAAGAUCAAUUGUGUCAAAAACCCUUAAUAAAAAGAACCAAACAAAACAAUACCUGAUCGACGUCUUCGGUUGGGGCGACCACGGGGGAAAACAAAGCCCCCACGUAGAACGGGACAACCCCUAAAACUAAGAGGGACACCUCUAAGUCACAGAACCUCUGACUUAAAAGAUCCGGCACACGCCGAUUAACGAACCAAGUUACCCUAGGGAUAACAGCGCAAUCCCCUCCAAGAGUCCAUAUCGACAAGGGGGUUUACGACCUCGAUGUUGGAUCAGGACAUCCUAAUGGUGCAGCCGCUAUUAAGGGUUCGUUUGUUCAACGAUUAAAGUCCUACGUGAUCUGAGUUCAGACCGGAGCAAUCCAGGUCAGUUUCUAUCUGUAAAGCUAUUCUUCCUAGUACGAAAGGACCGGAAAAAUAAGGCCCAUACUCCAAGCACGCCUUACCCCAACUUGAUGAAACCAACUUAACCAAACAAAGGAAAAGCACAACACUCUCCCGAGACAAGAGACU